CCCUUAGACGUUCUGGGCCGCACGCGUGCUACACUGACGCAUACAGCGAGCACUUUCCAGUUCCGAGAGGCUACUGGUAAUCAUCAAUAUGCGUCGUGAUGGGGAUAGAUCUUUGGAAUUCUGGAUCUUGAACGAGGAAUGCCUAGUAAUCGCAGGUCAUUAGCCUGCGAUGAUUAAGUCCCUGCCCUUUGUACACACCGCCCGUCGCUACUACCGAUUUCGAGUGGUCAGGUGAAUCUUUCGGACUGUGGGCGCCCUUGAGGUGUUCGCGGAAAGUCAGGUAAAUCUUAUCACUUAGAGGAAGUAAAAGUCGUAACA
rnacentral:rRNA from 1 species